UACGUAGGGGGCAAGCGUUGUCCGGAUUUAUUGGGCGUAAAGAGCGUGUAGGCGGCCAGACAGGUCAGCUGUGAAAACUCGAGGCUCAACCUCGAGACGUCGGUUGAAACCGUCUGGCUAGAGUCCGGAAGAGGAGAGUGGAAUUCCCGGUGUAGCGGUGAAAUGCGCAGAUAUCGGGAAGAACACCCGUGGCGAAGGCGGCUCUCUGGGACGGUACUGACGCUGAGAAGCGAAAGCAUGGGGAGCGAACAGG
rnacentral:rRNA from 1 species